rnacentral:rRNA from 1 species
UUGCAUGGGCGCAAGCCUGAUGCAGCCAUGCCGCUUGUAUGAACGAAGGCCUUCGGGUUGUAAAGUACUUUCAGCAGUGAGGAAGGUGGUAGUGUUAAUAGCACUAUCAUUUGACGUUAGCUGCAGAAGAAGCACCGGCUAACUCCGUGCCAGCAGCCGCGGUAAUACGGAGGGUGCGAGCGUUAAUCGGAAUUACUGGGCGUAAAGCGCAUGCAGGUGGUUUGUUAAGUCAGAUGUGAAAGCCCGGGGCUCAACCUCGGAAUUGCAUUUGAAACUGGCAGACUAGAGUACUGUAGAGGGGGGUAGAAUUUCAGGUGUAGCGGUGAAAUGCGUAGAGAUCUGAAGGAAUACCGUGUGGCGAAGGCGGCCCCCUGGACAGAUACUGACACUCAGAUGCGAAAGCGUGGGGAGCAAACAGGAUUAGAUACCCUGGUAGUCCACGCCGUAAACGAUGUCUACUUGGAGGUUGUGGCCUUGAGCCGUGGCUUUCGGAGCUAACGCGUUAAGUAGACCGCCUGGGGAGUACGGUCGCAAGAUUAAAACUCAAAUGAAUUGACGGGGGCCCGCACAAGCGGUGGAGCAUGUGGUUUAAUUCGAUGCAACGCGAAGAACCUUACCUACUCUUGACAUCCAUAGAACUUUCCAGAGAUGGAUUGGUGCCUUCGGGAACUAUGAGACAGGUGCUGCAUGGCUGUCGUCAGCUCGUGUUGUGAAAUGUUGGGUUAAGUCCCGCAACGAGCGCAACCCUUAUCCUUGUUUGCCAGCGAGUAAUGUCGGGAACUCCAGGGAGACUGCCGGUGAUAAACCGGAGGAAGGUGGGGACGACGUCAAGUCAUCAUGGCCCUUACGAGUAGGGCUACACACGUGCUACAAUGGCGCAUACAGAGGGCGGCCAACUUGCGAAAGUGAGCGAAUCCCAAAAAGUGCGUCGUAGUCCGGAUUGGAGUCUGCAACUCGACUCCAUGAAGUCGGAAUCGCUAGUAAUCGUAGAUCAG